GUUUGGAUUUAGUUUAGGUUCAAAAGAGCACGCACAGAUCCUGAGUGUUGUCAAGCACCCGUGACUGGGAAACGGAGGCGUCCGAUCCGUAUUGGAGUCAAUUCGCCACUUAAUUGGGACACUGACGCUAGAGAGGAAGCAGUGCUUUGAGUUUGCCAUUCUGGCAAUGUCCAAAUGUGGAAGACUGGAUAACAGAAAAACCCUUUGAAAAGAUUCAGCACGUUGCCAUGGAGAACAUCCCACUGAAGGAAUGUAUAGAAGUAGCAGGUGUCAGCUGCCUACCAGUUGCUUUCAUCUCUAGAAAUCUGUGACUUGCAGUAUGACAAGAACAAAAGGUGACAAUACAAAGGACAAAGGGCAAGGAAUACAGACGGAGAAGCCGCUUAGAGUCUAGGAUGGCAGAGGUUCUCUUGAUCAUUUCAUUUUUGAGCGCUUGUAGAGCUUUGGUGUACCAGAGGUGCUUGAACAGCUUACCACACCACAGAUGAAUGGCCUUUGGAUUUCUCCUAAGAAAAUGUGGCUACCUGAAAUUCAACUCCAUUUUCUGGUCUUCAAUAUUUCUUUUGUGUUCAGUUUGCCAGCUGAGGAGAAGUGGCUAAGCAUAGCCUGUUACUGAUGCUAAAGCCCAAGUUCUGAACCUAACAACUCCAGCAACAUGAUCCUGUUUCAAGAGACAAAAAAGUGACUAAUGAAAGAAAACAAUUGAUGUGCUAUGUAGAGUUUAAAAGAAGGUAAAGAGAAUAAAUUAAAAGCAACAACUCUC
rnacentral:lncRNA from 1 species